CACAAAAAUGCACAUACUGUGAGCUCGAUGAGUAGGGCGGGACACGUGGUAUCCUGUCUGAAUAUGGGGGGACCAUCCUCCAAGGCUAAAUACUCCUGACUGACCGAUAGUGAACCAGUACCGUGAGGGAAAGGCGAAAAGAACCCCGGCGAGGGGAGUGAAAAAGAACCUGAAACCGUGUACGUACAAGCAGUGGGAGCACGCUUAGGCGUGUGACUGCGUACCUUUUGUAUAAUGGGUCAGCGACUUAUAUUCUGUAGCAAGGUUAACCGAAUAGGGGAGCCGAAGGGAAACCGAGUCUUAACUGGGCGUUAAGUUGCAGGGUAUAGACCCGAAACCCGGUGAUCUAGCCAUGGGCAGGUUGAAGGUUGGGUAACACUAACUGGAGGACCGAACCGACUAAUGUUGAAAAAUUAGCGGAUGACUUGUGGCUGGGGGUGAAAGGCCAAUCAAACCGGGAGAUAGCUGGUUCUCCCCGAAAGCUAUUUAGGUAGCGCCUCGUGAAUUCAUCUCCGGGGGUAGAGCACUGUUUCGGCAAGGGGGUCAUCCCGACUUACCAACCCGAUGCAAACUGCGAAUACCGGAGAAUGUUAUCACGGGAGACACACGGCGGGUGCUAACGUCCGUCGUGAAGAGGGAAACAACCCAGACCGCCAGCUAAGGUCCCAAAGUCAUGGUUAAGUGGGAAACGAUGUGGGAAGGCCCAGACAGCCAGGAUGUUGGCUUAGAAGCAGCCAUCAUUUAAAGAAAGCGUAAUAGCUCACUGGUCGAGUCGGCCUGCGCGGAAGAUGUAACGGGGCUAAACCAUGCACCGAAGCUGCGGCAGCGACGCUUAUGCGUUGUUGGGUAGGGGAGCGUUCUGUAAGCCUGUGAAGGUGUGCUGUGAGGUAUGCUGGAGGUAUCAGAAGUGCGAAUGCUGACAUAAGUAACGAUAAAGCGGGUGAAAAGCCCGCUCGCCGGAAGACCAAGGGUUCCUGUCCAACGUUAAUCGGGGCAGGGUGAGUCGACCCCUAAGGCGAGGCCGAAAGGCGUAGUCGAUGGGAAACAGGUUAAUAUUCCUGUACUUGGUGUUACUGCGAAGGGGGGACGGAGAAGGCUAUGUUGGCCGGGCGACGGUUGUCCCGGUUUAAGCGUGUAGGCUGGUUUUCCAGGCAAAUCCGGAAAAUCAAGGCCGAGGCGUGAUGACGAGGCACUACGGUGCUGAAGCAACAAAUGCCCUGCUUCCAGGAAAAGCCUCUAAGCAUCAGGUAACAUCAAAUCGUACCCCAAACCGACACAGGUGGUCAGGUAGAGAAUACCAAGGCGCUUGAGAGAACUCGGGUGAAGGAACUAGGCAAAAUGGUGCCGUAACUUCGGGAGAAGGCACGCUGAUACGUAGGUGAAGCGACUUGCUCGUGGAGCUGAAAUCAGUCGAAGAUACCAGCUGGCUGCAACUGUUUAUUAAAAACACAGCACUGUGCAAACACGAAAGUGGACGUAUACGGUGUGACGCCUGCCCGGUGCCGGAAGGUUAAUUGAUGGGGUUAGCGCAAGCGAAGCUCUUGAUCGAAGCCCCGGUAAACGGCGGCCGUAACUAUAACGGUCCUAAGGUAGCGAAAUUCCUUGUCGGGUAAGUUCCGACCUGCACGAAUGGCGUAAUGAUGGCCAGGCUGUCUCCACCCGAGACUCAGUGAAAUUGAACUCGCUGUGAAGAUGCAGUGUACCCGCGGCAAGACGGAAAGACCCCGUGAACCUUUACUAUAGCUUGACACUGAACAUUGAGCCUUGAUGUGUAGGAUAGGUGGGAGGCUUUGAAGUGUGGACGCCAGUCUGCAUGGAGCCGACCUUGAAAUACCACCCUUUAAUGUUUGAUGUUCUAACGUGGACCCGUGAUCCGGGUUGCGGACAGUGUCUGGUGGGUAGUUUGACUGGGGCGGUCUCCUCCUAAAGAGUAACGGAGGAGCACGAAGGUUGGCUAAUCCUGGUCGGACAUCAGGAGGUUAGUGCAAUGGCAUAAGCCAGCUUGACUGCGAGCGUGACGGCGCGAGCAGGUGCGAAAGCAGGUCAUAGUGAUCCGGUGGUUCUGAAUGGAAGGGCCAUCGCUCAACGGAUAAAAGGUACUCCGGGGAUAACAGGCUGAUACCGCCCAAGAGUUCAUAUCGACGGCGGUGUUUGGCACCUCGAUGUCGGCUCAUCACAUCCUGGGGCUGAAGUAGGUCCCAAGGGUAUGGCUGUUCGCCAUUUAAAGUGGUACGCGAGCUGGGUUUAGAACGUCGUGAGACAGUUCGGUCCCUAUCUGCCGUGGGCGCUGGAGAACUGAGGGGGGCUGCUCCUAGUACGAGAGGACCGGAGUGGACGCAUCACUGGUGUUCGGGUUGUCAUGCCAAUGGCACUGCCCGGUAGCUAAAUGCGGAAGAGAUAAGUGCUGAAAGCAUCUAAGCACGAAACUUGCCCCGAGAUGAGUUCUCCCUGACCCUUUAAGGGUCCUGAAGGAACGUUGAAGACGACGACGUUGAUAGGCCGGGUGUGUAAGCGCAGCGAUGCGUUGAGCUAACCGGUACUAAUGAACCGUGAGGCUUAACCUU
rnacentral:rRNA from 1 species